AGCAUUGUUACCCACGUGUGGCGGCUCUGCAGCAUAAUAGAGUGCUUCCUCUUCAGGGAAGAGCAGGGCAAGAGACAGGAGGGUGUCAGGGAGUCUGUAGAACAACAGCCCUUACCAAAAACCUUGAUUGUGGUGGAGCUCCUCAAGAUUUUGUCAGGACCGACUCUAAUGUGGCAAGAGAACUUCCGCCCAUCAUCGAAGAUUUGGACUGGAGAGAGGUGGAGUCUGUAGUCUGUACCAACCUUGACUCUAUCUUUAAGUAAUGUGGAACUGCUGAUGAGGUGAUCUUGGGAGAUAAGUGUUUGCUGAGUUCCAUUAUCCUCCUGGUGAGAAAAAUCGUUACCAGUUAUUGAGCCCUCAACUGUGCCAGCUCUGAACUAGGCGUUUCACAAGCAUCGACUCAUGUAUUUUUUGUAAAGUAGAGAGGAAGAAUGAAGGAUGGAAAUUAAGAGACAUUUAGUAUAUUACUAGAGAAAGUAUACACUUGACUUUCAGUUAAAAACUAUUGUCACCCUCUCCUAACAAAUGGAAACAUUCUGUUCUUCUGACUAGACCUUCUCCUUCAUAAUCUUCUACGAACUGCAUAUCUGGAGUAGGAUUUGGGGGCUGGAAUGGGUGUGGAACUAAUGGCAGAUUUUAAUUUUCAUUUAAGAAGUUCUGGCAUCUUACUGCUAAGAUGUGCUGAGAAGACUGUAUCAGUGUGAAGAUUUCAUAAAAUCUUCACUUAAACUGGAUGAUUACAGUUAUCCCUGAAUUCCUUUAGAAAGGACUCUUUUCAGCUCCUCCCUGAGCCUGGACUAGGAUCAGGUAAAGUGACGUUCUCAAAGUCUUGCUAGUGAAAUGUUGGCACCCAACAGAUGUGGCAUUUCUCCCCUCCAGAGGAUUUAGCAAGUGGGACCUCACCAGAUGUCAAUGGCUUGAUCUUGGACAUUCUCAACCUCCAGAACUACGGGACCAUCUAGUUGCAGGAAGACAAGCUCGGGUCUCC